GUGCACCUGGUUGAAAGGGAUUCUUUAGUGCCAGGAAAACAAGCCAUUUUCCUGGCACUAUAAGUUUCUUUCAUUGACACAGCGCUCUCCCUCAGCGCUGAAGGGGUUAAAACCCCUCAGUCCCUUACCUGAAUUCAAUGCCAAUGCUGGGUCAGGCUCCGCCCACACUCCUCUCCAGCCGACAUCAACCUGCAGGGGAAACUCAAUACUUAAUGGCCGUGCUCACAUUAGGAUUUCC